rnacentral:lncRNA from 9 species
CUGGCUGCAAUCUCAGCACUCCUGCAUAGAGUAGUCAUUCAAAUAAUGUUCGCAUAACGUUCAGUGAAUGAAUGAAUCUCUCCCUUGUCCCCCUGCCCUUCCAGUGGCCAUCAUUCUAGUCUCAGCAAUCAUUAUUCUCCCCAUAGCAUAGCACCAGCUCAUAAAUGGCCUCUCUGCUGCUCACCCCAUCUUCUCCAAGCCACAACUCCAAAUGCCUUCCAGGAGUCAGCUUUCUAAAAAUAGAUGACCUCUUUUUUCCAUUCAUCACAAUCUCCUUUAGUGGUUACGCCACAGACUUCUAGAUAAAGCCAAGCUCUCCAUGGCAGUGUGUACCGAUAGUUCUAUAGACUGUGUGCAGUCAGGGCCAUGAACAGUUCCUCCUGUCCCUGUACACGCAUCCUGGUCCUUGUGCAGUUUCUCGCCCUUUACCUACAACCUGUUUGACAAAGAGAAUGUGACAGAAGUGAUGCUAUGUGCCUACAGAGCCUGGGCCAAUACCAGCUGAAACUGAGAUAAAAUUUCCUGCAGACUCUGACCCAAUUGAGGAAUCAUGAGCAACUCAGUGGCUUUUUGUUUUUAGUGUAUAGUGUUGGGGUGUCUUGUUAUAUGGUAAUAGAUGAUUGAAACUUUUUUCAGUUUCAUCUCAAACAAUGCCCCCUCCCAACUUGUUAUUUCUGCCAUAUUGAAUUACUGCAGUUCCACAGUAAUAUAGUCUGUGCUUUUACACACACACACACACACACACACACACACACACACACACACACACACACACACACACUACAGAGCCUUUCCACAUGGUACUUUACCGUCGGGAUUUCCUCUCAUUUUUUAACCAACGGUGGCCUCAGCCUUCCAGGCCUGGCACACCCUUCCUGCUCUGAAAUUCCUGUCAGGGCCCUCACAACCUGCCUUCCAGCCAUCCCUUCAUCAUCUUCUCCACCAGGAAGAAAGCUCAUGGAGGGUAAGAAAAGCAUCUUAUUCACUGAUUUGACUGUAGUGCUCAGCUCUAUGCCUGGCACAUGGUAAGCAGUCAGUAAAUUAUUUUAAAUAAUCAAUGGUAUCAAAUGACUGAAUGCUGAUAGAUGCUUAUAACUUCCUUGGGGUAGAGGGAUAAGAUUAAAAUUCAUGAAACAAUUAGGGAACAAAGCAAAACAGUAUAAAACUAAAUACCAAAUGGGUACCAAAUGUUCACAACUUCAGAAAUAUUCUUAUCCUGAUAAUUGGUUCAUGCUAUAUUAGGUUCUUCAUAUUAGUAGUAAUUAGAAUAAUAAUGAUCCAUUACAAUGAAAACUUUCAGUUUUCAAAAUGCUUUCACAUGCAUUAUCUCUUUUGACUCGACUCCAAUUAUUUAGGGACAAAGAAGUCAUAGAAUCAUGUAUGCCACAUCAUGUAAUAUGAGCAGGUUUCUUGUCAUUUAUUCUUUGCUAAACUCAGUUGCUUGCGAAUCAGACUGCUACUCAAGUGUUUGCAUGAAUUGCAGAGAAAAGUGUAACUUCUCUGUUUCUCAAUGAACAUGAUGAAACAUUGGAUUAGAGUUCCCAAGGACCAAGGCCAUUUCAUAGACUUGAAGGUUUUUUGUUUAUUGGCUAAAAACACCUAAUAAAAUAAUAAAAACUAAAAAUAUGGAUCUAUGAAUAGAGGGCAUUAAGUAAAUGCAACAUAAUGUCCUCAAUUUGAAAAACUAUGAUUAACACAUUUUAUAUAGAGAUAACUGUCCAUUUGCAGACUGGCAAUUCUAUCCCCAAAUAUGCAAAAGUUUUCCUACCUAGGAGCAGAAAAACAUCAUUCAAAACCAAGAGAAUUACUGGCUGAAAAUUAAGUUAAAUUUUACCUGAAGAACAUUUUGUCUAUUUCAGCAUCAUCGCUAAAAGAUGCUAUUUAUUGAACAGCUACUCUGAAUGAAAUAUUGUAUUCCUGAGAGUCAGGUAUCAUUAUUCCCAUUUUACAGAUGGGAAAAUUGAUGCUCAAAGAGGUAAAGUGAAUGUCACACCACAAUGUAGCUGGUGAGUGGCUGCUAGGAUUCAAAGAGAUCUGUCGUCAAAAUCAGUAUUCCCUCCACCUUAAGUUUGCUAGUCCAAGAACAAAAGAAUAUUUUCGGGUUUCCAGUAACCUUGGGACCCUGUCAUUUUAACUGUUUCUCAUUAUUGUUCAAAAGAAAGAAAGAGAGAGAAAGAAAGGAAGGAGGGAAGAAAGGAAGGAUCACACAGUUUUGUUUGCUUUCAUUCUAGGUGGAAGGAAGGAAAGAGAAGGAGAUAACGAGCCUGGUUUCUUACUCUUAGGUGUCAGAUACAACCAGAACCUCUGUAUGUCUCAUGUGCCCCUCCCCCUUACAGGUUCUCACAGCAUGUUAACUGGACCCAGGACUAAAAUGCCCCCUGACCUGAAGAACCAGCUCAUCAGGAAGGAUUGAUUGGGACUUUCCAAAUUUCCUGCAGGGGGGCAUCUGUACCAAGAACCUUAACUCACCAGCCCAAGGGGAUUUGCUGGGAGACCUUGAAACCCUGCCUGAUGGGUUCUGACCCAGCUGCCACUGCCAAAAAGUUCUCUCUG